GCGAUUGCGGCAAGCUUCGAUGGCUUCGAUGACCGUUGUUGCUGCUGUGGGACCCGCUACUUUCGCUCUGCUGCUACUAGUGCCAGCGGUCGCGCAGUAAAUGCGGGUAACGUUGGGCACGGUAGCAGUGACGUAUGAAAGUCUGAUUUCAGGCGGGUGAUUUGAAGUGCGCUAACGCGAUGCGGACCACUAAAACGUGAUUUUAUUUCAAAAUAAGCACUUCCUUGGCCUAAAAAUAGCACUACGAGGUUUCUGGACCGCUAUUUCAACAAUCAACAUCGACUUAAUAUUUGCCUUUAGUGUCCCUUUAACCCCCGCUAUUACGCUAAACCAGCUAAACUAUAGCUG
rnacentral:lncRNA from 1 species